AAGGCGAGGCUGAGAAGCGUAGCUGAUGGGAAACAGGUUAAUAUUCCUGUACCGCUCUUCAAUGCGAUGGGGGACGGAGAAGGUAGGCCAGCCGGGUGUUGGACGUCCCGGUUUAAGCGUGUAGGCGUGCUCUCUAGGCAAAUCCGGAGGGCUUAGCUGAGGCGUGAUGACGAGGUCCCAUGUGGACUGAAGUGGUUGAUCCUAAGCUUCCAAGAAAAGCCUCUAAGCUUCAGUUGAAGAGUGACCGUACCGCAAACCGACACAGGUGGGCAGGGUGAGAAUCCUAAGGCGCUUGAGAGAACUCUGGAGAAGGAACUCGGCAAAUUGACACCGUAACUUCGGGAUAAGGUGUGCCUCUAUUACGUGAAGACCCUUGCGGUUGGAGCGGAAAGAGGUUGCAGUGAAAA
rnacentral:rRNA from 1 species